AUUGAACGCUGGCGGCAGGCCUAACACAUGCAAGUCGAACGAGUGGCGGACGGGUGAGUAAUGUCUGGGAAACUGCCCGAUGGAGGGGGAUAACUCCUGGAAACGGUAGCUAAUACCGCAUACCAUCGGAUGUGCCAAGGUGGGAUUGGUGAGUAGGUGGGGUAACGGCUCACCUAGGAGCAGAUCCCUAGCUGGUCUGAGAGGAUGACCAGCCACACUGGAACUGAGACACGGGCCAGACUCCUACGGGAGGCAGCAGUGGGGAAUAUUGCACAAUGGGCGCAAGCCUGAUGCAGCCAUGCCGCGUGUAUGAAGAAGGCCUUCGGGUUGUAAAGUACUUUCAGCGAGGAGGCGUUACUCGCAGAAGAAGCACCGGCUAACUCCGUGCCAGCAGCCGCGGUAAUUC
rnacentral:rRNA from 1 species